rnacentral:rRNA from 1 species
UACGUAGGGGGCAAGCGUUGUCCGGAAUCAUUGGGCGUAAAGAGCGUGUAGGCGGCCCGAUAAGUCCGCCGUGAAAGCCCAGGGCUCAACCCUGGGAUGCCGGUGGAUACUGUCGGGCUAGAAUCCGGAAGAGGCGAGUGGAAUUCCUGGUGUAGCGGUGAAAUGCGCAGAUAUCAGGAGGAACACCGGUGGCGAAGGCGGUUCUCUGGGCCUUACCUGACGCUGAGGAGCGAAAGCGUGGGGAGCGAACAGG